CCUACGGGAGGCAGCAGUGGGGAAUAUUGCACAAUGGGGGAAACCCUGAUGCAGCGACGCCGCGUGAGUGAAGAAGUAAUUCGUUAUGUAAAGCUCUAUCAGCAGGGAAGAAAAUGACGGUACCUGAGUAAGAAGCCCCGGCUAACUACGUGCCAGCAGCCGCGGUAAUACGUAGGGGGCAAGCGUUAUCCGGAUUUACUGGGUGGAAAGGGAGCGUAGACGGCAGUGCAAGUCUGGAGUGAAAGGCGGGGGCUCAACCCCGGGACUGCUCUGGAAACUGUACGGCUGGAGUGCAGGAGAGGUAAGUGGAAUUCCUAGUGUAGCGGUGAAAUGCGUAGAUAUUAGGAGGAACACCAGUGGCGAAGGCGGCUUACUGGACUGUAACUGACGUUGAGGCUCGAAAGCGUGGGGAGCAAACAGGAUUAGAUACCCUUGUAGUC
rnacentral:rRNA from 1 species